rnacentral:lncRNA from 1 species
GCCAGGCGAGCACACUACACUACCGCUUGAGCCACAUCCCCAGCCCCGGCACUAAGGUUUUAAAAUCAGGUAUAUUUUAUAGCACAUCUCAACUUGUACAAUCCACAUUUCCCAUAGGCACCUGUAGUUAGUCUCUACCAUAUUUGAUAACAGCUCUGGAUCAAUGGCCCACAUGACUGGACAGAAAUAAUAGCAAUAGCUAGUAUUUCUUGAUUGCCAGCUGAAAGAUCUUGAGCAAGUUACUAAACCUGUGCUUGUUUCCUCCUUUGUAAAAGAGAAGUAAUGGUAAAGUCUGAUCAUGUUGUAAGCAUUAAAUCGAGAGAGGUAGCCAAAGCCCCACAUAAGAUCAUUAGUCCACUUUGCCUUUGCACAUAGUUUCCUCAGCCUGCAAUGCCAAGUCUUCUUCACCUGCAAGUCAUGUUCAUUUUUUGAAAAAUGUCACCUCCUCUAUGAAGCUUAUCUAAAGUGCCUAUCUCUGGCUCUGGACCAACCUCCGCUUUGUUUACCACUGUAAUGGUGCUUAUUACCUUGUUUUGUAAUUGGUUCCCUACCUGGUUCCCUUGUGAAUCUUGAAGGAUUCAUUCAUUUUCCAUUUUCUAUUAUCUAGCAUUUCUAGAUUUUCCAUUUUCUAGCAUUUCUGAAAUGAGAGGUUUACUUACAUACAAUUGUCAGUGUAUUUUUUUCUUGGUGAGUUUUUUUAAGUAGGUGUGAUUGCAAUAUAUGCCAUAGAUUUGAUAAAUUUUAAUAUUUGCCUUUGUGUUCUUAGGCACUGGACUCAGUAAAUGUAAUGCAUGUGUCAAAUAUAC